rnacentral:rRNA from 1 species
UACGGAGGGGGCUAGCGUUGUUCGGAAUUACUGGGCGUAAAGCGCACGUAGGCGGCUUUGUAAGUUAGAGGUGAAAGCCCAGGGCUCAACCCUGGAAUUGCCUUUAAGACUGCAUCGCUUGAACAUCGGAGAGGUAAGUGGAAUUCCGAGUGUAGAGGUGAAAUUCGUAGAUAUUCGGAAGAACACCAGUGGCGAAGGCGACUCGCUGGACAAGUAUUGACGCUGAGGUGCGAAAGCGUGGGUAGCAAACAGG